GAUGAACGCUGGCGGCGUGCCUAAUACAUGCAAGUCGAGCGAACAGACGAGGAGCUUUCUCUUCUGACUUUAGCGGCGGACGGGUGAGUAACAUGUGGAGAACCUACCUAUAAGACUGGGAUAACUUCGUGAAACCGGAGCUAAUUCCGGAUUAUAUUUUGAACCGCAUGGUCCAAUAGUGAAAGACGGUUUUGCUUUCACUUAUCGAUGGAUCCGCACCGCAUUAGCUAGUUGGUAAGGUAACGGCUUACCAAGGCAACGAUGCGUAGCCGACCUGAGAGGGUGAUCGGCCACACUGGAACUGAGACACGGUCCAGACUCCUACGGGAGGCAGCAGUAGGGAAUCUUCCGCAAUGGGCGAAAGCCUGACGGAGCAACGCCGCGUGAGUGAUGAAGGUCUUCGGAUCGUAAAACUCUGUUAUUAGGGAAGAACAAAUGUGUAAGUAACUAUGCACGUAUUGACGGUACCUAAUCAGAAAGCCACGGCUAACUACGUG
rnacentral:rRNA from 1 species